rnacentral:rRNA from 1 species
GAUGAACGCUCGCUCCAGGCUUAACACAUGCAAGUCGAGGGGAAACGAUGAGAGAGCUUGCUCUCUUAGGCGUCGACCGGCGCACGGGUGAGUAACGCGUAUCCAACCUACCCAUUACAGGGGGAUAACCUUGCGAAAGUAAGACUAAUACCCCAUGGCAUUUUAUGGUGGCAUCAUUAUAGGAUUAAAGAUUUAUUGGUAAUGGAUGGGGAUGCGUCUGAUUAGCUUGUUGGCGGGGUAACGGCCCACCAAGGCAACGAUCAGUAGGGGUUCUGAGAGGAAGGUCCCCCACAUUGGAACUGAGACACGGUCCAAACUCCUACGGGAGGCAGCAGUGAGGAAUAGUGGUCAAUGGGCGAGAGCUUGAACCAGCCAAGUAGCGUGCAGGAUGACGGCCCUAUGGGUUGUAAACUGCUUUUAUAGGGGAAUAAAGUGAGCUACGUGUAGUUUAUUGCAUGUACCCUAUGAAUAAGGACCGGCUAAUUCCGUG